UCUCCGUUGGUGAACCAGCGGAGGGAUCAUUACCGAGUGCAAACUCAUAACCCUUUGUGAACCUAUAUCUGUUGCUUCGGCGGCUCGCUAUCGGGCGAGCCCGCCGGUAAUAUCAGUAUCUCUGUUUGAACCCGACGAUACUUCUGAGUGUUCUUAGCGAACAGUUAAAACUUUUAACAACGGAUCUCUUGGCUCUG
rnacentral:misc_RNA from 1 species